rnacentral:rRNA from 1 species
UACGUAGGGGGCAAGCGUUGUCCGGAAUCAUUGGGCGUAAAGAGCGUGUAGGCGGUCCGGUAAGUCGGCUGUGAAAGUCCAGGGCUCAACCCUGGGAUGCCGGUCGAUACUGCCGGACUAGAGUUCGGGAGAGGUGAGUGGAACUCCGAGUGUAGAGGUGAAAUUCGUAGAUAUUCGGAAGAACACCAGUGGCGAAGGCGACUUACUGGACACAUAUUUGACGCUGAGGUGCGAAAAGCGUGGGGGAGCAAAACAGG